AUGUCCUCACUCAGGCAUCAUGUGUAGUAGAAUGAUACUAGAAUAUUAAUAUGAUCCCUGCUCAAGGAUGACAUGCAAAUUUAUGAAGCAUUCCACAUUUUU